AUAAGAUCUUAGAACUAUGAUUUAGUUCUGAGGGAAACUUAAAAAUCUGUUCUUAUCAGUUUAAUAUCUGAUACGUCCCCUAUCUGGGGACCAUAUAUUAAAUGGAUUUUUGAGAACGGGGGCCGAUUUCGAAGCUUGCUUCCGUCGCCCUAUGCAUUGACCCGAUAUGGCAGUAUCUUCGGGUACAGUGCACCACCC